CCCUGCCACCCCCUGACAUCCUCAGGCAUAAGGGCCUGACCCAGGGCCCAGGGUGGGAUUAGAAAGCUGGGGGCCUGAUUUGCAUGGAUGGACCCUCCCACUCUCAGAGUAUGAAGAAGGAGGGGCAGGGAGAGAUUUGGGGAAGCUCUGCUUCAGCUGUGGGCACAGGAGGCAGCACUCAGGACACUCUCCAGCAUGGCCUUGUCUCCUCUCCUCCUCACCCUUCUCAUUCACUGCACAGGGUCCUGGGCCCAGUCUGUGCUGACGCAGCCGCCCUCAGUGUCUGGGGCACCCGGGCAGAGGGUCACCAUCUCCUGCACUGGGAGCAGCUCCAACAUUGGAGGUUAUAAUGUACACUGGUACCAGCAGCUUCCAGGAACGACCCCCAAACUCCUCAUCUAUGGAAAUAAUCAGCGACCCUCAGGGGUUUCUGACCGAUUCUCUGGCUCCAAGUCUGGUACCUCAGCCUCCCUGACCAUCACUGGGCUCCAGUCUGAGGAUGAGGCUGAUUAUUACUGCCAGUCCUAUGACAGCAGCCUGAGUGCUCACACAGUGCUCCAGGCCCGGGGGAAUCUGAGACAAGAACCCACUUCCUCCUCUUCCAGGAGGUCCCCUGUUGUUCCUGGACCCUUUGCCUGUGUCUGA